rnacentral:rRNA from 1 species
CCUACGGGAGGCAGCAGUGAGGAAUAUUGGUCAAUGGGCGCGAGCCUGAACCAGCCAAGUAGCGUGAAGGAUGACUGCCCUACGGGUUGUAAACUUCUUUUAUAAAGGAAUAAAGUGAGGCACGUGUACCUUUUUGUAUGUACUUUAUGAAUAAGGAUCGGCUAACUCCGUGCCAGCAGCCGCGGUAAUACGGAGGAUCUGAGCGUUAUCCGGAUUUAUUGGGUUUAAAGGGAGCGUAGAUGGGUUGUUAAGUCAGGUGUGAAAGGUUGCGGCUCAACCGUCAAAUUGCAAUUGAUACUGGCAGGCUUGAGUACAGGUGAGGUAGGCGGAAUUCGUGGUGUAGCGGUGAAAUGCGUAGAUAUCACGAAGAACUCCGAUUGCGAAGGCAGCUUACUAAACUGCCACUGACAUUGAUGCUCGAAAGUGUGGGGAUCAAACAGGAUUAGAUACCCGAGUAGUC